UACAGAGGUCCCGAGCGUUGUUCGGAUUCACUGGGCGUAAAGGGUGCGUAGGUGGUCAGGUAAGUCGGAUGUGAAAUCUCCGAGCUCAACUCGGAAACUGCAUUGGAAACUACCUGGCUCGAGGGUUGGAGGGGGGGGACUGGAAUGCUUGGUGUAGCAGUGAAAUGCGUAGAUAUCAAGCGGAACACCAGUGGCGAAGGCGAGUCCCUGGACAACUCCUGACACUGAUGCACGAAAGCUAGGGGAGCAAACAGG
rnacentral:rRNA from 1 species